rnacentral:rRNA from 1 species
UGCGUAGGCGGGCUAAUAAGUCAGUGGUGAAAUCUCUCGGCUCAACCGAGAAACUGCCAUUGAUACUGUUAGUCUUGAGUUCGGUUGAGGUAGGCGGAAUGUGUAAUGUAGCGGUGAAAUGCUUAGAUAUUACACAGAACACCAAUUGCGUAGGCAGCUUACUAGACCGACACUGACGCUGAGGCACGAAAGCGUGGGGAGCGAACAGGAUUAGAUACCCUGGUAGUC